rnacentral:rRNA from 1 species
UGGGGAAUAUUGGACAAUGGGGGGAACCCUGAUCCAGCCAUGCCGCGUGUGUGAAGAAGGCCUUAUGGUUGUAAAGCACUUUAAGCGAGGAGGAGGGUACUGGUAUUAAUACUACCAGGUACUGGACGUUACUCGCAGAAUAAGCACCGGCUAACUCUGUGCCAGCAGCCGCGGUAAUACAGAGGGUGCGAGCGUUAAUCGGAAUUACUGGUCGUAAAGCGUGCGUAGGCGGCUAAUUGAGUCGGAUGUGAAAUCCCCGAGCUUAACUUGGGGAUUGCAUUCGAGACUGGUUAGCUAGAGUGUGGGGGAGGGUGGUGGAAUUCCAGGUGUGACGGUGAAAAGCGUAGAGAUCUGGAGGAAUACCGAUGGCGAAGGCAGCCAUCUGGCCUAACACUGACGCUGAGGUACGAAAGCAUGGGGAGCAAACAGG